UCGGAGCGUACUUGUGAACCCGCCUUGUUGCGGUAUUGAAUGGGUUUGUGAGCGCGGCGAGAAUAUCGCUCUAACCUAAUCUACUUUUGUUUAUGUUCUGGCUCAUAUCGACGAAGAUAAAUCUAUUAUACUUUCGUUAAUUUAUUUAAGUUCCAGAUUUUAUCCUAACCACAAAGAUCUUGUAAAACAUGCCGUCACGCUAUUUAAUGGAUUGUGUAUAAUUUCCAGUUAUUGACUCAAGCAGAGAAUUCUCCCGUUACAAGCCACUUUGCCGGGAUACAUGCCAGCCUGAUGCGGCCAUAUCUACAUUCUCUUGCAAGAUAAGCAAUUACUCUACGAUAAUACAGUUCUAUCAUUAAUUUUGCUCUUGCUUUCUAAUUAAUUUACGAUUACAAUCAUUGAUUAACUUCAAGUCUUUCUUCCUGUAUAAAGCUCUUUAGUUUAGUAGAACCGUAUUUUACUCUGUUUUAUUUUAUAUACAUCUGCAAUUUAAGUUUACGAUCCCAGUCAUGGGCAUUAAUUCAAUUUCUAUUGCUAUUUAUCUAACUAUUAUUGGUAGUAAUCUCAGAGUAAACAAUUUUAAGUUUAAUUUAAUUUUUUUUUCAAUCUCAAUAUUAGUAGCGAUAGUACUUGACUCAAUUUUUUAGUAUAAAGUAUAGUAUAAUAAUACAAUAUAUAACCUAUAAUAUAUUUCUUUGCGACAGAGAUUCGUGAGAAGCUACGUUGCUCUAUACGCGCAGAUAUCCGUAGCGACGACAGCCAUAUCGAAAUAUGUUUGCAAGGCUGGAGUCAAGGCAGCGAACAUACGAUCAAUUUAAACCUAUUAAGCCUGCAGGGCGACCACAGCGCAUACAUACCGCGCAAAUACGACAAAUGGUUACUGAUGAUCCAACCAUCAGUAUACGAACCAUAGCGCGGAAUCUAGGAGUUCGUUUGAGUACGGUACAUAAAGCUUUGAAAUCGGCUCGCUUCCAUCUUGAGCAAGCAAUCUUGAGUCGGGCUUUACGUUGUGAGCAGGAGGAAGGGAGACACUUCGAGCACUUGCUCUAAAAAUAUGAUAAUUUGUUGUCAUAUUACGCACGAUCAUACGUAGAUGUAACUUUUCAUCUACGUGUGUUCUUACGCAAUAUGACUUCAAAAUAUCUAUUUAAGCUUUAUGUACCAAAAAAAUAGAUCUUUAAUGUGGUAUAAUAUGGCUCUAGGCGAAGGUCCACUUCAAAAAACCUAACGCGCCAAUCGUGGAACCUCAAAGGUGGUGUGGAAGUCCACGUUACCAUUUAGCUUUCAUUACUUGAUAUCACAUUACAAUAUUAUUUCUGAAGUUCUUUAAAUUAAAAGUACUUCAAAGAUAAUAUUUAAAUUCAAAAGAUUACAAGUAUUAAAAAUUUGUGAUAAAAAUUGUGUGGAUAUAUUAUUAAAUG